CCCUCCAGGCCGGCGCCGCGUCGUCAGGCGCCGGGUGAAGGUUUCCACUCAGAAGUGAAUUGUGUGAGAAUUGGUCAGGCUCUUAGGUUAAAAAACGUAUCCUAGAAAGUAAAUUAAUAUUCGCAUUCCUGACAAACGUUCCUACUCUGAGCGCUCGGUGAAUGCUUCUAACCACACCUCUAAUAAAGGAUUUUCAGUGACUAUUAGCGACUGCGCCAAGAAGAAAAACAAGAUGCCUGUGCCGGGCGCUGUCCGCUCCCUUUCAUCUUCCACCCGCCGGAACCUUCUGGCAAGAAGGGGAGGAGGACGACCCGAGCAAAAAGGGAAGAGUAUUUGCACCACCGGGUGGACUACCAAAGCUGAGCUCUCAGGAGGAAGAGAUUUUGUCCCAGUGAGAUAAUCAGGCUUUUCUUGACCCCAGCAGAAUCUCAGGGGACCCAGCUUCAACGGGUCGUUUUGAGGAUUGUCAUUCCCAAAUUAUAAACGAGGAGAAUGGAGACUCAGAGAAUACAAGACUUUCCCAAGGUCAACAAG